rnacentral:tRNA from 1 species
GGAGAGGUGGCAGAGUGGCUGAACGCGCACGCUUGGAAAGCGUGUUCAUGGUAACAUGACGGGGGUUCGAAUCCCCCUCUCUCCG